GAUGAACGCUGGCGGCGUGCCUAAUACAUGCAAGUCGAGCGAACAGACGAGGAGCUUGCUCCUCUGACGUUAGCGGCGGACGGGUGAGUAACACGUGGAUAACCUACCUAUAAGACUGGGAUAACUUCGGGAAACCGGAGCUAAUACCGGAUAAUAUAUUGAACCGCAUGGUUCAAUAGUGAAAGACGGUUUUGCUGUCACUUAUAGAUGGAUCCGCGCCGCAUUAGCUAGUUGGUAAGGUAACGGCUUACCAAGGCAACGAUGCGUAGCCGACCUGAGAGGGUGAUCGGCCACACUGGAAGUGAGACACGGUCCAGACUCCUACGGGAGGCAGCAGUAGGGAAUCUUACGCAAUGGGCGAAAGCCGGACGGUGCAACGCCGCGUGAGUGAUGAAGGUCUUCGGAUCGUAAAACUCUGUUAUUAGGGAAGAACAAAUGUGUAAGUAACUAUGCACGUCGUGACGGUACCUAAUCAGAAAGCCACGGCUAACUACGUG
rnacentral:rRNA from 1 species